AAAGAAAUGUCUGGUGUGGAUGGUUGGCGUUGAAAAAGAAGAGGUGAGGGAGUUUUAGAGCCAAUUCCAAGCAGGGAAGUGAAUAUUGGGAAAGUGGCUAUGGCUGCUUUCUUUCUCAGGCAAUGGUGGAAGAAUUAAUAAGGAAUGCUUGGAAGCCCAGGUUGAUGAUGUCCUGCAUCGAUCUUUAACCACCCGAGAAGAUUUACUUGCUUCCAGUUCACAUUUUAGUCGUUACCGAUGACGCUUGAUGCUGAUUCGAUCGUGUUUUACUCACUUUGCUGUGAUAUUGUUGUGUGCUACGGAGAAAAGAAAACCGAGCUGAAGUGGAAGAUAUAGCUUACAACCUGGCAAAUUUCAACGGCACAAGUCACCUCAUUUCUUCCCUGCUAACAUUGCCAUGAAAGAUUCUGCAGGUGGAAUACCGAACUUUGCCCCGUGGAUGACACAGUCGGCGAGAUGCAGGUAUCGGGGACUCGCAAGAGGUAGGAAUCUGAUCCGAUGGGAAUUCUUUUGGAAUGUAAAAUUAUUCGAUCCAUCCCCAAGAGGACCCACAAGAAUGUGAACUGGAAAUUAUACUUGCAAAUUCCUAAAAGAACAAAGCAAACAUGGGAGGGAGGGGGAUGGUUGGAAGUUGAGGGGUGUGAAGGCUGAGAGCAAUAAUGGAGUUAGUUCAGUAGCCGGAAAAGAAACGGUUUGGGUGAGCUCACAUGCUUUGAUCGAGGAUUGUUUCUGUGACCUUAAUUUGCCCGAGCUGUUAUUGUUCGGUUUUGGUCUACUCGAAAAGAUUAUUGGGUGUUUCGAAAGCACGAGAGAAUUGACGAUCAUACGCGAGAAUUCAACAUAUAUGAUGGGCUUAUAAUUAAA